rnacentral:rRNA from 1 species
GUCCUUGCCGUAAACGAUGUAUACUUGAUGUAAUUGGGCUCAACCCCGAUUGUGUCGGAGCUAACGCGAUAAGUAUACCGCCUGGGGAGUACGCUCGCAAGGGUGAAACUCAAAAGAAUUGACGGGGGCCCGCACAAGCAGUGGAGCAUGUGGUUUAAUUCGAUGCAACGCGAAGAACCUUACCCAGGCUCGAAAUGUAAUGGACGAUAUCAGAGAUGAUAUUUCCGCAAGGACUAUUAUAUAGGUGCUGCAUGGCUGUCGU